CCUACGGGAGGCAGCAGUAGGGAAUCUUCGGCAAUGGACGGAAGUCUGACCGAGCAACGCCGCGUGAGUGAAGAAGGUUUUCGGAUCGUAAAGCUCUGUUGUAAGAGAAGAACGAGUGUGAGAGUGGAAAGUUCACACUGUGACGGUAUCUUACCAGAAAGGGACGGCUAACUACGUGCCAGCAGCCGCGGUAAUACGUAGGUCCCGAGCGUUGUCCGGAUUUAUUGGGCGUAAAGCGAGCGCAGGCGGUUAGAUAAGUCUGAAGUUAAAGGCUGUGGCUUAACCAUAGUACGCUUUGGAAACUGUUUAACCUGAGUGCAAGAGGGGAGAGUGGAAUUCCAUGUGUAGCGGUGAAAUGCGUAGAUAUAUGGAGGAACACCGGUGGCGAAAGCGGCUCUCUGGCUUGUAACUGACGCUGAGGCUCGAAAGCGUGGGGAGCAAACAGGAUUAGAUACCCCAGUAGUC
rnacentral:rRNA from 1 species